rnacentral:rRNA from 1 species
UGGGAAGCUAGACCGAAGAUGGUGAUAGUCCAGUAAGACGUAAAAAUAUUUAAAUAUGCAAACCACCCGAGUAGCGUCAAGCACGAGGAAUUUGGCGUGAAUCAGCGUGGACCAAAUCACGUAAGGCUAAAUACUUUUGUUAACCGAUAGAGAAGAGUACCGUGAGGGAAAGGUGAAAAGAACCCUGAGUAAGGGAGUGAAAGAGAAUUUGAAACCGUGUGCUUACAAGCGGUAGGAGCCAGAGAUGGUGACUGCGUGGAUUUUGGUUAAUCAUCCUGCGAGUUAUAUUAUGUGGCGAGGUUAAGGAAGACGGAGCCGAAGGGAAACCGAGUGUGAAUAGUGCGAAGAGUCAUAUGAUAUAGACGCGAAACCUAGUGAUCUAUGCCUGUCCAGGUUGAAGCUUGGGUAAGACCAAGUGGAGGACCGAACUCACCGCCGUUGAAAAGAUGGGAGAUGAGAUAGGUAUAGGGGUGAAAAGCCAAUCGAACUAGGAGAUAGCUCGUUCUCUCCGAAAUGCAUUUAGGUGCAGCCUUAAGGGAAGAUAUAUGGGGGUAGAGCACUGUAUGGUCUAGGGGGCGUAUAGCUUACCGAAAUCAAGCAAACUUCGAAUACCAUAUAUUAAUACCUAGGAGUGAGUCUAUGGAUGACAAGGUCCAUGGACGAGAGGGGAACAACCCAGACCACCAACUAAGGUCCCAAAUUAUGUCUAAGUGGGAAAGGAGGUGGAUAUUCAGAGACAACCAGGAGGUUGGCUUAGAAGCAGCCAUACCUUAAAAGAGUGCGUAAUAGCUCACUGGUCGAGAGUAUCUGCGCCGAAGAUGUAACGGGGCUAAGACAUAAACCGAAGUUGUGGAAGUACAAUGUACUUGGUAGGAGAGCGUUCUGUAGGCCGUAGAAGGAGUAUUGCAAGGUACUUUGGAGGUAUCAGAAGUGAGAAUGCAGGAAUGAGUAGCGAGAAGGUGGGUGAGAAUCCCACCGGCCGGAAGUCCAAGGUUUCCAGGGGAAGGUUUGUCCGCCCUGGGGGAGUCGGGACCUAAGCAAAAGGUGAGGACCGUAUGCGAAUGGAAAAUAGGUUAAUAUUCCUAUACCACUAUUAAUCGUUUGAGGAAUGGAGUAACGCAGGAAGGUAUGUGAGAUGACUGACGGAAUAGUCAUUCUAAGGGAGUAGCAUGGUAAUAAAGGCAAAUCCGUAUUACUAAAUGUGAGACCUGAUGGGUAAGCACUUAUGGUGUAAGUCACAAAUCCUACGCUGCCGAGAAAAACUUCUACCGAGAGAGAUAGUGCCCGUACUGUAAACCGACACAGGUGGACAGCAUGAGAAAUGUAAGGCCGACAGGCUAACUCUAGCUAAGGAACUCUGCAAAAUAGCCCCGUAACUUCGGGAGAAGGGGUGCCUAUGUUACUUGAGUGGAGAAACACCACAAGGGGAGAUAGGUCGCAGUGAAGAGUCUCAAGCAACUGUUUACCAAAAACACAGGUCUAUGCUAAGCUGAAAGGCGACGUAUAUGGGCUGACACCUGCCCAGUGCUGGAAGGUUAAGAGGAGGAUUGAGAGAUCCGAAUUGAAGCCCCAGUGAACGGCGGCCGUAACUAUAACGGUCCUAAGGUAGCGAAAUUCCUUGUCGGGUAAGUUCCGACCUGCACGAAUGGUGAAAUGAUUUGAGAGCUGUCUUGGCUGGAGGCCUGGUGAAGUUGUAAUGUCGGUGAAGAUACCGACUACCUGCAGUAGGACGGAAAGACCCCGUGGAGCUUUACUGUAGUUUGACAUUGGGUUUUGGCAAUGUGUGUAUAGGAUAGUUGGGAGACUGAGAUUGUAUGGCGUCAGUUAUACAGGAGUCGCUGUUGGAAUACCAACCAUAUAUUGUUGAAAUUCUAAUCUGGUAACGGAGACAGUGUUAGAUGGGCAGU